rnacentral:pre_miRNA from 1 species
UUGGGGUGAGGUAGUAGGUUGUAUAGUUUGGGGCUCCGCCCUGCUAUGGGAUAACUAUACAAUCUACUGUCUUUCCUGA